GGGUUUGGGGCAACCUGGACAGUUUAAGAACUCGUGCGCCUCGUACACACUCAUUGCCCAAAGAUCGUUUUCCUGUCAGAAACUCGACAAUGUGAGGAGAAAGUGAAGAGAAUAAAGUGGAGACUAGGACUGAAGCACUGCCUUACGCAUGAUGGUAAGGACAAAGGUGCGAGCAUUGCCUUGUAUUGGAAUGAGUCAAUAAAAAUAAAGUGUUUGUCGUAUGGCCCCCGUUAUUUUGAUGUGUUAGUGUCUUAUGAUCCACAUGGCCCGUCAUGGUGUGGUACUUUUGUCUAUGGUGAACCAAGAGCUCAAGAUAGGCACCACAUGUGGUCCCUUCUGAGAAGGAGUAAAACAAUGGCCAAUGAACUGUGUGUCACAUCCCUAGCUUCUGGUGUUGCCUAG
rnacentral:rRNA from 1 species